UGGAAAUGUUGAGGCUCUCGGUGGAGUUGGACAAGCCACCUUGAGAAUUUUGCAGGCAGUUUUAUUCUUCAGCAUGAAAUUUGGGAUCCCUGCAACAAUCAUCUAGGAGCAGGCAGUCAUGAUUCAGGCAUAUACAUGAGGAAAGUGACCUUGUUCAGGAGUUCAGAAGAAGAUGUGCAGAGGUUCUUUCCUUCCAUCCUACCCUUCUUCUCUCCAUCUUUCUAAAUGAAAUUUCACACCCCAUCAUUUAUACAAAUAAUGUCUUUUUUCUGCUUUAGAAGAAAAUUGUCAUAGAAACUCUAGGUAACAUGAAAUCACCAGCCUAAGUUCAAGACUAGCUGAUGAUUUAGUUUGUGGGCUUCCAUUCUCUACAUGAACUUCAUGUUAAAGGAAGAACAAAAGCAACUACGGUGUUUCUGUGACAUAAAAUAAA